rnacentral:tRNA from 1 species
UGGAGAGGUGGCUGAGUGGUUGAAAGCACCGCACUCGAAAUGCGGCCCUUCCAAGCUAAAUCAACUAUUUGCGGCCCCUAUUAGGGAUAGUAGGGACACCGAUUAGGGACAGUCGGGGUCCGGCUUUUCGUCCCUUCAUCCA